rnacentral:rRNA from 1 species
GACGAACGCUGGCGGCGUGCUUAACACAUGCAAGUCGAACGGAAAGGCCCUGCUUUUGGGGGGUGCUCGAGGGGCGAACGGGUGAGUAACACGUGAGUAACCUGCCCUUGACUUUGGGAUAACUUCAGGAAACUGGGGCUAAUACCGGAUAGGAGCUCCUGCUGCAUGGUGGGGGUUGGAAAGUUUCGGCGGUUGGGGAUGGACUCGCGGCUUAUCAGCUUGUUGGUGGGGUAGUGGCUUACCAAGGCUUUGACGGGUAGCCGGCCUGAGAGGGUGACCGGCCACAUUGGGACUGAGAUACGGCCCAGACUCCUACGGGAGGCAGCAGUGGGGAAUAUUGCACAAUGGGCGGAAGCCUGAUGCAGCAACGCCGCGUGCGGGAUGACGGCCUUCGGGUUGUAAACCGCUUUCGCCUGUGACGAAGCGUGAGUGACGGUAAUGGGUAAAGAAGCACCGGCUAACUACGUG